AGUACUCGACAUGUGAUAAGUCAAUUAUCCUGGCCUUGGUCCUAAAGUGCCUGCCGAAUGGAUGCCUCCAGGAUCUGUGUCCAAAUACCAUAGUCCCCAAGUAACCGCAGAACGAUUUAACAACAUGCACAGAUUACUCUACAAAGUGGAACUGAAUGCUGAACAAAAUACAACAUAUAACUAAAAAUACGAAAAAUCAAUCAUAUAUGUAUAACACAACACAAAAGAAUAAAGAACAAAUGCAGUAAGGCAGUAAUGAACACUGCACACAACAUGGUGAAUGAAUCGCAUGGAGAGCUGCAGUCCAAUUGGAACGGAUGCAGCGGCUAGGUCCCACCAACCGGCGGCACAGUCGCACAACAGUGAUACAGAAAUGUCAGGGACAUAGAGUGUCCAAUAUACAAUACCAGCUCUCUAAAUCAUGACAGCAGCGGACUGACCGUGGGUGUGGACACAUGGAGGAAAAAGAUUCAGGCUUCAAUUUGGCAGACCAACAGGAAUCACAAGGAUUAAACAGCAAUGGAGUCAGGAACAUGAACAGAUGGAAACUGUCAAUCACAGGGUACACAUGGAGAAUUACAGCAGUGAAGUCACAAGGCAGCAGGAGUCAUACAUGGAAAACAAUCAGGGAAUACCAGAGAUGAAGACUGACAGUGUCUGUGCACACAAGGAAAGCUAAAUCCAAGCUUUGAUAAUUGAUACCUGAUUCUCUGGCAAUGAGGAGGUGAUUCCACGGACGUACAGUAGACAUAGGGCCGACAGGUUAUGGCUAAUUCAAUCUGGGCGUGAACUCAUCCUGAAUUAAGCUAAAAUCCUUUUAAUUAAACUGAAAUCCAUAUUCACCAGAGUGAAGUGUAACACAUAGCUAGAGAAUGCAUUACAUAGUAAAUGGACAUAAGUGGUAUGCAAAA